rnacentral:rRNA from 1 species
GACGAACGCUGGCGGCGUGCUUAACACAUGCAAGUCGAACGGAAAGGCCCUGCUUUUGUGGGGUGCUCGAGUGGCGAACGGGUGAGUAACACGUGAGUAACCUGCCCUUGACUUUGGGAUAACUUCAGGAAACUGGGGCUAAUACCGGAUAGGAGCUCCUGCUGCAUGGUGGGGGUUGGAAAGUUUCGGCGGUUGGGGAUGGACUCGCGGCUUAUCAGCUUGUUGGUGGGGUAGUGGCUUACCAAGGCUUUGACGGGUAGCCGGCCUGAGAGGGUGACCGGCCACAUUGGGAGUGAGAUACGGCCCAGACUCCUACGGGAGGCAGCAGUGGGGAAUAUUGCACAAUGGGCGGAAGCCUGAUGCAGCAACGCCGCGUGCGGGAUGACGGCCUUCGGGUUGUAAGCCGCUUUCGCCUGUGACGAAGCGUGAGUGACGGUAAUGGGUAAAGAAGCACCGGCUAACUACGU